rnacentral:rRNA from 1 species
GACGAACGCUGGCGGCGUGCUUAACACAUGCAAGUCGAACGGAAAGGCCCUGCUUUUGUGGGGUGCUCGAGUGGCGAACGGGUGAGUAACACGUGAGUAACCUGCCCUUGACUUUGGGAUAACUUCAGGAAACUGGGGCUAAUACCGGAUAGGAGCUCCUGCUGCAUGGUGGGGGUUGGAAAGUUUCGGCGGUUGGGGAUGGACUCGCGGCUUAUCAGCUUGUUGGUGGGGUAGUGGCUUACCAAGGCUUUGACGGGUAGCCGGCAUGGGAGGGUGACCGGCCACAUUGGGACUACGAUACGGCGCAGACUCGUACGGGAGGCAGCGGGGGGGAAUCUUGCACAGUGGGCGGAAGCGUGAUGCAGCAACGCCGCGUGCGGGAUGACGGCUUUCGGGUUGUGAACAGCUUUCGCCUGUGACGAAGCGUGAGUGACGGUAAUGGGUAAAGAAGCACCGGCUAACUACGUG